rnacentral:rRNA from 1 species
CAGCAGCCGCGGGAAUACGUAGGUGGCAAGCGUUGUCCGGAAUUAUUGGGCGUAAAGGGCUCGCAGGCGGUUUCUUAAGUCUGAUGUGAAAACCCCCGGCUCAACCGGGGAGGGUCAUUGGAAACUGGGAAACUUGAGUGCAGAAGAGGAGAGUGGAAUUCCACGUGUAGCGGUGAAAUGCGUAGAGAUGUGGAGGAACACCAGUGGCGAAGGCGACUCUCUGGUCUGUAACUGACGCUGAGGAGCGAAAGCGUGGGGAGCGAACAGGAUUAGAUACCCCCGUAGUCCCUGUCUCUUAUAC